AUUGAACGCUGGCGGCAGGCCUAACACAUGCAAGUCGAGCGGAUGAAGGGAGCUUGCUCCUGGAUUCAGCGGCGAACGGGUGAGUAAUGCCUAGGAAUCUGCCUGGUAGUGGGGGAUAACGUCCGGAAACGGGCGCUAAUACCGCAUACGUCCUGAGGGAGAAAGUGGGGGAUCUUCGGACCUCACGCUAUCAGAUGAGCCUAGGUCGGAUUGGCUAGUUGGUGGGGUAAAGGCCUACCAAGGCGACGAUCCGUAACUGGUCUGAGAGGAUGAUCAGUCACACUGGAACUGAGACACGGUCCAGACUCCUACGGGAGGCAGCAGUGGGGAAUAUUGGACAAUGGGCGAAAGCCUGAUCCAGCCAUGCCGCGUGUGUGAAGAAGGUCUUCGGAUUGUAAAGCACUUUAAGUUGGGAGGAAGGGCAGUAAGUUAAUACCUUGCUGUUUUGACGUUACCAACAGAAUAAGCACCGGCUAACUUCGUG
rnacentral:rRNA from 1 species